rnacentral:rRNA from 1 species
GUUUGAUCCUGGCUCAGGAUGAACGCUAGCGACAGGCUUAACACAUGCAAGUCGAGGGGCAGCGGGGUGUAGCAAUACACCGCCGGCGACCGGCGCACGGGUGAGUAACGCGUAUGCAACUUGCCUAUCAGAGGGGGAUAACCCGGCGAAAGUCGGACUAAUACCGCAUGAAGCAGGGAUCCCGCAUGGGAAUAUUUGCUAAAGAUUCAUCGCUGAUAGAUAGGCAUGCGUUCCAUUAGGCAGUUGGCGGGGUAACGGCCCACCAAACCGACGAUGGAUAGGGGUUCUGAGAGGAAGGUCCCCCACAUUGGUACUGAGACACGGACCAAACUCCUACGGGAGGCAGCAGUGAGGAAUAUUGGUCAAUGGCCGAGAGGCUGAACCAGCCAAGUCGCGUGAGGGAUGAAGGUUCUAUGGAUCGUAAACCUCUUUUAUAAGGGAAUAAAGUGCGGGACGUGUCCCGUUUUGUAUGUACCUUAUGAAUAAGGAUCGGCUAACUCCGUGCCAGCAGCCGCGGUAAUACGGAGGAUCCGAGCGUUAUCCGGAUUUAUUGGGUUUAAAGGGUGCGUAGGCGGCCUUUUAAGUCAGCGGUGAAAGUCUGUGGCUCAACCAUAGAAUUGCCGUUGAAACUGGGGGGCUUGAGUAUGUUUGAGGCAGGCGGAAUGCGUGGUGUAGCGGUGAAAUGCAUAGAUAUCACGCAGAACCCCGAUUGCGAAGGCAGCCUGCCAAGCCAUUACUGACGCUGAUGCACGAAAGCGUGGGGAUCAAACAGGAUUAGAUACCCUGGUAGUCCACGCAGUAAACGAUGAUCACUAGCUGUUUGCGAUACACUGUAAGCGGCACAGCGAAAGCGUUAAGUGAUCCACCUGGGGAGUACGCCGGCAACGGUGAAACUCAAAGGAAUUGACGGGGGCCCGCACAAGCGGAGGAACAUGUGGUUUAAUUCGAUGAUACGCGAGGAACCUUACCCGGGUUUGAACGCAUUCGGACCGAGGUGGAAACACCUUUUCUAGCAAUAGCCGUUUGCGAGGUGCUGCAUGGUUGUCGUCAGCUCGUGCCGUGAGGUGUCGGCUUAAGUGCCAUAACGAGCGCAACCCUUGCCACUAGUUACUAACAGGUUAGGCUGAGGACUCUGGUGGGACUGCCAGCGUAAGCUGCGAGGAAGGCGGGGAUGACGUCAAAUCAGCACGGCCCUUACAUCCGGGGCGACACACGUGUUACAAUGGCGUGGACAAAGGGAGGCCACCUGGCGACAGGGAGCGAAUCCCCAAACCACGUCUCAGUUCGGAUCGGAGUCUGCAACCCGACUCCGUGAAGCUGGAUUCGCUAGUAAUCGCGCAUCAGCCAUGGCGCGGUGAAUACGUUCCCGGGCCUUGUACACACCGCCCGUCAAGCCAUGGGAGCCGGGGGUACCUGAAGUCCGUAACCGAAAGGAUCGGCCUAGGGUAAAACUGGUGACUGGGGCUAAGUCGUAACAAGGUAGCCGUACCGGAAGGUGCGGCUGGAACACCUCCUUUCUGGAGCUUCAGGAUUCCGUACCGAGGUCAUACGAAGGUAUUGAUCGCCUUGUUGCUGCUGUUGAGAUUAUGUUUAUAUAUAGAUCUUACAGACCGGGAGGCCGGUCGGAGAGAAAAAGAUGAAGCUGGGACGUAAGUCUUGGCAAAGUUGACAGUCCUAUAGCUCAGUUGGUUAGAGCGCUACACUGAUAAUGUAGAGGUCGGCAGUUCAACUCUGCCUGGGACUACUCCGAAUGAGGGGGAUUAGCUCAGCUGGCUAAAGCAUCUGCUUUGCACGCAGAGGGUCAACGGUUCGAAUCCGUUAUUCUCCACAGUUUAUUGAWAHGAGGGAUAGGCAUCAGCCAAUCCCGUCCCGACGACAGUCGGGCUCAGAUAAGAAGGAUCUUUGACAUGU